UAUAUAUAUAUAUAUAUAUACGAAUAAGUCUAGCCGGACAGGAUUAUUGGACCGGUUGCAAUUUUUUUAUUUUUUAUUUUUUUAUUGUGACUCUAAAAAAAUAUAUAGUAUUUAUUACAACAGGAAUUUUUAUAAAAUAUAGUAUUUUAGGUGUGAUUUGGAUACAUAUACAAAUACAGUCUGUAAUACAGGGUUAUACAAAUACAAUUGCAACAGUCUGUAUAACCCUGUUUUUGUAUAUAUAUCCAAAUUACAUCUAAAACACUAUAUUUUAUAAAAAUUCCUGUUAGAUUAAAUACUAUACAUUUUUUGAGAGUCACAGUAAAAAAUAAAAAAAAAUUGAAAAACAUGUCCAAUUUUCGUGUCUAUUGCCUGUCCGCAUAGCAUUACUCAUAUAUAUAUAUAUAUAGGAUACAUUUUAAUAAUAUAUAUUUAAUGUCGUUAAUGUAGUCUGCUGCAACAUUUUGAGAAGUGACUAAUAUGACAUACAAAUAAUAUAUAUUUAUUAUGGUGAAUGCAUUUAUUUUUUUCAUUUUGGAAAUACUGUACGAAUUGAUUAGCUUUUAUUUUGAAGAGUGCAAUUAUAUAAGAGACUCUUUAUUUUAUUAACAGCAAAAGGGA
rnacentral:lncRNA from 1 species